rnacentral:lncRNA from 1 species
UUUUUUUUUUUUCAGUAGGCACGAAAGCAUCAUUCAGAAUAUAUGGAAAAAAUCUCAGACUAGUGACGUGACUGGUGUUUCCUUUCAACAUUUUCUUCUGUGUUUCUGGCUCACCCUCUCACCCAGCUUUUCCUCUCAUACAUCCUUUUCAUUGUUAGAAAGAGGUAAUAGACAAUAACUAAAAACUUCAUGGAAAGCAUAUGUGGAAAUCUGUUUCCUACAAUAUAAGCUUUAAGUAUAAAUUAGCUUUUUAUUGACUUUUCUCUUCUGUUGUCUUUUCACCAGUGGCUAAAAUGGAGUAUAAUUUGAGAAGAGUGAAAACAGUAAGGAUAUAGAUGAUUUUAACAGAUCAGUUUAAUUGAGUGGACAUUUAUAAAAUACUCCAUCUAACCACAGCAGAAUACACAUUUUUCUCAAACUCACCAAAAUAGACCACAUUUGGGUCAUAAAAUUUAUCUUAACGAAUUUAAAAGAAUAGGAAUCAUACAAAAUGCAUUCUUUUUCUUUUUUAAGAUUUUAUUUAUUCAUGAGACAGAGAGAGAGAGGGGCAGAGACGCAGGCAGAGGGAGAAGCAGGCUCCAUGCAGGGAGCCCGACAUGGGACUCGAUCCCGGGACCCCAGGAUCAGGCCCUGGGCUGAAUGCGGCCCUAAACCUCUGAGCAACCCAGGCUGCCCACAAAAUGCAUUCUUGUACCACAGUGGAAUCAAGCUAGAAAUAAAUAACAGAAGGAUGGCUAGGAAAUUCCCAAAUAUCGGAAACUUUUUAAAAAAGAUUUUAUUUAUUUAUUUAUUUAUUUAUUUAUUUAUUUAUUUGAGAGAGAGAGAGAAAGAAUGAGCAGGAGGAGGGGCAGAGAGGAAAGGAGAAGCAGGCUCUGGUCUGAGCGGGGAGCCCAAUAUGGGGCUCAAUCCCAGGACCCUGGGAUCAUGAAUGGAGUUGAAGGCAGAUGUUUAACUGACUGAACCACCCAGGUGCCUCCACAAAUAUCUAUAAAUUAAACAACAUACCUCUAAAUAACCCAUGAGCCAAAGAGAAAAAUGCCAAAGGAAAUUUAAAAUAUUCUGAAUUAAGGAAAAAUAAAAGUACAGUUUUUCAAAAUUUGUGGGACAGAGCAAAAUCAACCUGCUUAGGGGGAAAUUUAUAGCAUUAAAUGCAUAUGUUUUUAGAAAAGAAGAAAGAUCUAAAAUAAAAACCUAAGCUUCCACCUUAGGAAACUAGUGAAAAGAGUGAAAUAAAACUGAUUAGCAAGCACAGAAAACAUUUUCAACUUUAUAUACAAUCCAAUCAAAGAAAUGCAGUUUAAAAUAUCACUUUUCACAUAAUGAAUGAAGAAAUUUGUAUUUCUAAAAUACGAUAUUCAGGUUUGGUAUGGGUAAGGUGAAACAGGCACCAAAUAUUAGUAAAGCCCUUUAAAAAAAAGAUUUUAUUUAUUUAUAAGAGAGAGAGCAUGAGGAGGAGCAGAAGGAGAGGGAAGGACAAGUAGACUCCCAGAUGAGUGUGGAGCCCAAUGCAGGGGUUGAUCUCAGAAGCCUGCAUUGAUCUGAGCCAAAACCAAGAGUUGGACCCUUACAGGACUGAGCCACCCAGGCCCUCUAAAGCAACCAUUUUGAAAAAGAAAUUUGGCAAUGUGGUUUAAACAUAUCUUUUCUUUGCCCUACUCUUUCCAUUUUAAUGAUUAUAAAGAAAUAAUCCCAGAGUGAGAAAAUAUUUAAUUCACAAAGAUAUUUAUAAAAGUAUUAUUUAAAAUAGCAAAAAAUUGAAAAUAGCCCAAACAUCCAAAUAAGUGUAACAUUAAGUAGAACAUUAAGGUAUAUGCACUCACUGGAACAGUAUGUGGUCAUGAAAGUUGAUAUUUUGGGAGAAUUUCUAAUAACUUAAUAAUGACAAUAAGUGAUAAAGAAUAUGGGACAAGAAAAUGUAUGGAUAGAAAUAAGAUUAGAAAGAAGUGUGCCAAAAUUAAAACUAGUUUCUUGGGAUGAUGGGUUUGCCCUUCUUGCUGCUUUUCUAUAUGUCCUAAAGACCCCUGAUGGACAUGGUGGUUUUGCUCAUGAAUUUUGGAGAUCCAUGGCUUGGGUUAUGGUCUCAGCUCUGCCCCAAGUCUCAAUUCUCAUUUGUAAAGUGAGGAUGAUAAUUAAAGUUCUUUUCCUAAAAAAAAAAAAAAAAAAAAAAAAAAAAAAAAAA